GACGAACGCUGGCGGCGUGCUUAACACAUGCAAGUCGAACGGAAAGGCCCUGCUUUUGUGGGGUGCUCGAGUGGCGAACGGGUGAGUAACACGUGAGUAACCUGCCCUGUACUUUGUGAUAACUUCAGGAAACUGGUGCUAAUACCUGAGAGGAGCUGCUGCUGCAUGGGGGGGGUUGGAAAGUUUCGGCGGUUGGGGAUGGACGCGCGGGUUGUCAGCUUGUUGGUGGAGUAGUGGCUUACGAAGGCAUUGACGGGUAGCCGGCCUGAGAGGGUGACCGGCCACAUUGGGACUGAGAUACGGCCCAGACUCCUACGGGAGGCAGCAGUGGGGAAUAUUGCACAAUGGGCGGAAGCCUGAUGCAGCAACGCCGCGUGCGGGAUGACGGCCUUCGGGUUGUAAACCGCUUUCGCCUGUGACGAAGCGUGAGUGACGGUAAUGGGUAAAGAAGCACCGGCUAACUACGUG
rnacentral:rRNA from 1 species